rnacentral:rRNA from 1 species
GAUGAACGCUGGCUACAGGCUUAACACAUGCAAGUCGAGGGGAAACGCCGGGGAAGCUUGCUUCCCCGGGCGUCGACCGGCGCACGGGUGAGUAACGCGUAUCCAACCUGCCUCUGACUGAGGGAUAACCCGUCGAAAGUCGGCCUAAUACCUCAUGGCAUCGUCUGCGGGCAUCCAACGACGAUUAAAGAUUUCAUCGGUCAGGGAUGGGGAUGCGUCUGAUUAGCUUGUUGGCGGGGUAACGGCCCACCAAGGCUACGAUCAGUAGGGGUUCUGAGAGGAAGGUCCCCCACAUUGGAACUGAGACACGGUCCAAACUCCUACGGGAGGCAGCAGUGAGGAAUAUUGGUCAAUGGGCGGGAGCCUGAACCAGCCAAGUAGCGUGCAGGAUGACGGCCCUAUGGGUUGUAAACUGCUUUUAUGCGGGGAUAAAGUGAGGGACGUGUCCUUCAUUGCAGGUACCGCAUGAAUAAGGACCGGCUAAUUCCGU